UAAACAACUUAAACCGGGGUAGUACGAAGUUAUUAUCUUGAAACCCAAAGAGUUUGGCGGUAUCCCAGCCUAGUUAGAGGAGCUUGUUCAUUAAUCGAUAAUCCGCGAAAAAUCUUACGUGCUUUAGAAAUCAGUUUAUAUACCGUCGUUAUUAGAUAAUACUAAAAGGUGAAUAAUUGUCUAAAUAUAAUAAUUUAUAGUAUAUCAGAUCAAGGUGUAACUUAUAGGCGCGAGUUAGAAUGAGCUACAAUUUAUUAAUAUAAACAACGAAAAUUUAUCUAAAAAGAUUGAUUAGAAGGUGGAUUUAAUAGUAACUUUGGAUUUAAUAAGCCAAGGUGGUAUAAGCUCUGGGAUAUGU
rnacentral:rRNA from 1 species